AAAUAUUAUUCAUUUUCGAGUUGUGUUGUUUUCCCCUUUCUUCCCCGCUUCUUUAAUCAUCCCCUAGUCGCGAUCAACCGUGUUUUCUAUCCUUAGAAAAUGCGGGCGUGACAGUUGGUCUCCCAUAAUAUUAGGGCAUGACGGCAAGUACGUUGUUCUUCACAUGUAUAUUCGCCUGCCCUGGGGUCACCACUAUUGCCUGAGCUAGUUCUCAGAUAAGUGAGCGUUGAGAGACCCGAUCUCGGGAUCAUUAUCUACCAGUGCUGCCAUCCUGACUGGUCCUUCUUCUGUAACAGUCUCCUCCUUCGACUCAGCAAAUAGGUUCUAAUCUUCCUCCCCUUCUGAGCUUGUAUUAGAUGGCCCUCCCGUGUUCAGUCCAGAUCUAGUAAUGACCAGGUUGGCUGCUUCUCGGAUCCUCCAGUUGGAUUCUGUAUCUCUCCAGUUGGUCGUAUUAUUCCAGUGCCUAGAGUUCAGGCCUCUGUUUAUAAACUGAAAAAGAAAAAGAAAAUAACAUGAUUAAAAAUAUGUACACCAAAUAUCUCAAACACAAGCACAUAUAACGCCAUACAUCCUCGGCGACGGCGCCAUUUGAAAGCUGGGUUUUCCCCUUAAACUUCUUUAAACUGAAGUACUCAAAGUUCACAUGUAAAUUAAAACAUGUAGAUCAUGCGCAACUUGAUCAGGUCAGACAAUAGAAGGUUCAAGCUGGACGAUAAUUACUGGUCGUUGGGUGCCUGAACGGAGAGACUCAGGGCUUUCAAGACUUUAACCUACAAUACUAUAGAUUAGUAAAGGGAAGUAAGGGUUGAAUCCCUCAGGGACAAAUGCGAGUGGAGUUGGGGUUGAGACAUUUGGGAGGUUUGGCUGCGGCCACGUUUUUUAGUGGGUUAAGUUUAAACUAAGGGAAAGGAAACUGGUCAACUAACUAAACUAAACUGAUCAAACUAGACUAGAGACAUCAUAACUAAGGAAAGGUAACUUGAUCAACUAAGCUAAGAACUGAAAGGUAAAAAGCAACUUGGGACCACUAACACAAAAUAAGUGCAUUACCUAAAAAGCUGUAAACAUCGAAAAGGUGACAAAGACUACAAUCCUAACAAACUACUACCUUUUCUUCGCUAAGCAGCUAAAUAAAACAACGGAAGCAGAACUAAACAGAACAACAAGCAUAAAAACAGAAAUCAGACAAAUCAAACUCAGAUCUAUAUGAAAUCGACGUAAAGCAAAGCAGAUCUAAAGUAUCUAUCCUAUUCUCAUGCAAGUUGACGAACUAAAAUGUAAAUCUACCUACGAGAAAACAUAAACAACGCAGAACUAAAGCAAACAAAAGCAAUCAAAACAGAAAACAUCAGAUCCAACACAACUUGAACUAAAAACUUCAUUUCAUAAACGAUCUUCGGUAAACCUAACUAAAACAGAAUUCCAAACAAGGAUUCAAGAAACGAUUAAUGAUGGAAAGGAAACUAGAGUAGCAACUGGAAGGAAAACAUUAAAAACAACUAAGCAACGGAAAUGAUGAACUAAAAACCCUAGGGAUGCAACUAAAGCUCCAACUACAAAGACUUCUAUGCAGAUCCAGGUUCUUCCUUCCUUGACGAGGAAGAAGAGAUGAAAACAGAGGAAUAAGAUAUUAGUGAAGUUUUUGGUUGACGUGGGUCGUAGGAAUUGCACGUGUUAUCAGGUUCGGCGGCUGACGCGUUUUGGCAACCUUCUCCUCCUCAUCAUUUUUUCAUGUAGAUAUAUGGGUAGUAUAUAUAGUGGUGAGAGGGUCCCACUACGGUUUAGAAUGUUUUGAAAUAUGUACUUGUUAAAUGUUGGUUUUUGAAAUUAUAUAAUAUUUGUGUUUUAUUUA